rnacentral:rRNA from 1 species
AUUGAACGCUGGCGGCAUGCUUUACACAUGCAAGUCGAACGGUAACAGGGUGCUUGCACCGCUGACGAGUGGCGGACGGGUGAGUAAUGCGUCGGAACGUGCCGAGUAGUGGGGGAUAACGCAGCGAAAGUUGUGCUAAUACCGCAUACGUACUGAGGUAGAAAGUGGGGGACCUUCGGGCCUCACGCUAUUCGAGCGGCCGACGUCUGAUUAGCUAGUAGGUGAGGUAAAGGCUCACCUAGGCGACGAUCAGUAGCGGGUCUGAGAGGAUGAUCCGCCACACUGGGACUGAGACACGGCCCAGACUCCUACGGAAGGCAGCAGUGGGGAAUUUUGGACAAUGGGCGAAAGCCUGAUCCAGCCAUGCCGCGUGUCUGAAGAAGGCCUUCGGGUUGUAAAGGACUUUUGUCAGGGAGGAAAUCCCUAGUGCUAAUAACACUGGGGGAUGACAGUACCUGAAGAAUAAGCACCGGCUAACUACGAGCCAGCCGCCGCGGUAA